GUUUUUUUUAGCACAUAACGUGUACUCUUAUAUUUGUUACUAAGACUCCCUCACACGCAAAACAUGGAGCUUCCACUCCUAGCAGUUUAUGCGCACUAAGCUUUUGCAUCUCAAUUUUCUUGGGAUCGUGUGAUGAUGAUUUUCUAUAGGUGAAAGAGAAUUCAAGUUCAUCUCCAUUUCCCAGCAAACCCCCAAAGUCCUAAUUUUUCACCACCCAAACAGAAUCCAGAUUCUGGGUACACCUCUUCGCACGAGAAAAAGAGUUUUAGAGAAAAAACUAAAGAUGGUUGCAGAGAGAGCUUAUGGUUUUCUUGGCGGCAACUAUUGUUGCGAAGAGGAACCAGAAGAGGGACGACGAUGGCAAGUAAGACUGCCACUAGGGUUUAGUUUGCUUUGUCUUCAACCUUUACAAUAAAUACAUAUGUUUUAGGGUUUUUAUUUAGGAUUAGGAUUCUUGUCAGCGUAAAUAAAUUUUAUUACAGCUGGGUAAAAA